AGACAGCAGUCGCCACGGUAAUACGUAGGUCCCGAGCGUUGUCCGGAUUUAUUGGGCGUAAAGCGAGCGCAGGCGGUUAGAUAAGUCUGAAGUUAAAGGCUGUGGCUUAACCAUAGUACGCUUUGGAAACUGUUUAACUUGAGUGCAAGAGGGGAGAGUGGAAUUCCAUGUGUAGCGGUGAAAUGCGUAGAUAUAUGGAGGAACACCGGUGGCGAAAGCGGCUCUCUGGUCUGUAACUGACGCUGAGGCUCGAAAGCGUGGGGAGCGAACAGGAUUAGAUACCCGCGUAGUCCCUGUCUCUUAUACA
rnacentral:rRNA from 1 species